GAUGAACGCUGGCGGCGUGCCUAAUACAUGCAAGUCGAGCGAAUGGAUUAAGAGCUUGCUCUUAUGAAGUUAGCGGCGGACGGGUGAGUAACACGUGGGUAACCUGCCCAUAAGACUGGGAUAACUCCGGGAAACCGGGGCUAAUACCGGAUAACAUUUUGAACCGCAUGGUUCGAAAUUGAAAGGCGGCUUCGGCUGUCACUUAUGGAUGGACCCGCGUCGCAUUAGCUAGUUGGUGAGGUAACGGCCCACCAAGGCAACGAUGCGUAGCCGACCGGAGAGGGUGAUCGGCCGCACUGGGACUGAGACACGGCCCAGACUCCUACGGGAGGCAGCAGUAGGGAAUCUUCCGCAAUGGACGAAAGUCUGACGGAGCAACGCCGCGUGAGUGAUGAAGGCUUUCGGGUCGUAAAACUCUGUUGUUAGGGAAGAACAAGUGCUAGUUGAAUAAGCUGGCACCUUGACGGUACCUAACCAGAAAGCCACGGCUAACUACGUGCCAGCAGCCGCCGUAA
rnacentral:rRNA from 1 species